GACGGAAGAACAAUGUCAGCGGUAUUCCUUUCUCUCGGUGAAUUUUAAAAUGAAUUUUUGUUGAGGAAGGUAUACGAAUUCGCUGAAUCAUUUAUGCGGAGAAGAGACAGAUCGGUUGGGUAAUUAAGUGUCUGUCGUAAAUGUGACGGGCGUCAUCGUUCUCGUGAUUCACUACAUCGUUCGAUGGAUGGAGAAAUUGCCUCCAAGUUCCAUCCAUACAACUGUAUAAGUGUAGUACGAACAUGAUACGUACGGUAUAGAAACAGACACCCACCGCCUGCAUAAGAGUGCUCAAUAGAGUGCUGUAGAACGACUCGCCUAGGUGAGCGUGUGCUCGGGACAUUAACCAAGAAUGUAAUCAACGAAGACAUCGCUCAGGGUUUGCCACCCUCCCAAAUUGCACCCUGUUCCCUUGCCACAACUACGGCCCUAGCCGCAUACCCAUUCACGACGUAGCUGAUUAUUACCGACGUGAUUGGUGCAUCGGAAUCGUGUAUCGGGGAACGGUAAAAGCGACAGCGAUCGACCGGAAUGAAAAAAGUCGAUCCCACCGGAAAGGAUAAGGACUUCGGGGGUUUGGGAAAGUAGUUCUGAUUCAGAGACCGACGAUCAGAUGGCGCCUGUUCCCAGAGUCGAGUUUCAGGAUGGCUGACGACACAUCAGCGCCGGUGCCGCCUCCUGAUCCGAAAGGCCGCCCUCGUGGUUGCCGUAGCAACGACUGAACCAUGCUAUAUACCAUACGUAUACGUAGCAACGUUCGGCGGCCAUCUUUUUCGCGCCACAAUUCCGCGACCUGCCUCAAAACUCUUUCUCUCUCCUCGGCUAGCUGGCAGAGCGAGUCAUCGUAGCUUUGCCUCCCCCUUUUUUCUGCCGCUCUUCGAUCUUUCGACUACGACGACGAUGGCGCCAUAGCGAUGGUAGCGCUCCACCCGGGAGGAAACUUUUCACCGUCCUUGUCUGGCGACCAACAAACCGAAAGUCCCUCUUACCAUCAACCGGGUGUCGCGACGGGUUUCCUCCACCUCACCUUGGUUUAAAGAGGAUAUUGAACUCGACCGAUUACCUACGAACCCACCGCGGGGUUCUGAAGAUCCCGUAUUUUUCUGCAGGGUGACAAUAUCGCGACUCUCGCUAAAAUAAUCAUUUUCUCGGAGAUGAAACCCCCUACAGUAAGAUUCCCGAAAAUGGACGAGGAACCGAAAAUGGAAGCCAAAUGAACGAAUGAUUCUUGUUCCUGGUCAAAGUAGUUCAUUCUCGCCUGUAACACGGUUACACGAAGGCAUAUCCACAUACGAGUCCAACAGCGACUCGUAUUCAUCAUUGUGACAGAGCGAUGAUUAGCCUCGUGGGAAUCGUAAUCCGAUCGUACACACGAUACAUUGUAAAAAUGAGGGAAUUCCCGCGGGCAUCGAAAGGCACGUCACGGUAACCACUACUCCGCUACCAUUCGGCCUUGACCAAUCAGAAAUAGUCGACAGAUGGUACACGUGUCCGAGGGCCAUAAAGAUCAAGAAUUAUAAACAGCUGACGGUCCGUCUUCGCUUCCUCUCCAUGAAUCGAAAUAGUGUACGUGCCUACACGUAUAACAGCCUGACGAUGGUAGACGUGAAUUUGCACACUCGACUUAAAAAAAAUGACGACAGAACAAACCAGAACACACGAAGGAACGAAGAUUUUCCAGCAGUCAUUUGUAACCAGAGUUCAACCGCGAUGCUAGAACGAGAGAGAGUGAAGAUUGUAUUCGCACUGUACCGAACUGAUGCCCGACACAACAAUGCAACGGGGGCUCCGGCCCAGACUGAACACUUCCGUAUAUUCUCGGAGAUGCAGGAUGAGUUGUAGGGUCGUGAGUCUCGUUCCAGUUAGUAACGUAUACGUACACGUGCAUACUGAAAACGUAUAUUGCAUAUAUAUAGGUAUUGUACUUGUGCAUACGGGAGGAAGGUAUUCUCGCUCUCAUUUCCUCGUUUUCUCGAAGCACACGGAGCAUUAAGGUGAGGCAAGGCACGGCAGCACCAUUUCUCUGGAAAUGAUGGCUGUUCGAGCCCGCCAACCCCGAGGGAUACACUUGGCAACAAAAACUUUCUUUUUUUUUUUGUUUUUUUUCAAACUCUUUUCUUCUAUCCUUCCUCUCUUUUCUUUUCUUCUUAUUCUUCCAAUUUUCUUCUUUCACAUAUUUUUCAGGCAGCAACAGCCACGCUGAAGUCAGCUGGCUGGCAACAGCUAGCGUAUAUUCAUAUACCAGGAGUAUUUUCUGCAUGCAGCGGUGCCAGCAGCUAAAAUAGGCCGAGUGCAUCAGGUGAGUGCGGCACCCGCGUACAUGUAAGUACGUAUGUAUGUACCUAUGUACGUCGUUCGCGAGUGCAAAAGCAACCCCCUCGUCGGACCCUGGAACGGUGCUGCUGGCUCAACUGCAAUGCCUGUAUGUAUUUUGAGAUCUGCGGAAAUCCGAACGUGCGAAAUAAAAUCGUCAAUC